GAUGAACGCUGGCGGAGUGCCUAACACAUGCAAGUCGAGCGGCAGCGCGAGUAGUUUACUACUUGGCGGCGAGCGGCGGACGGCUGAGUAACGCGUGGGAACAUGCCCCAAAGUGAGGAAUAACUGCCCGAAAGGGUAGCUAAUACCGCAUAUGAUCUUCGGAUUAAAGGAUUUAUCCGCUUUGGGAGUGGCCUGCGUACGAUUAGAUAGUUGGUGAGGUAAUGGCUCACCAAGUCGACGAUCGUUAACUGGUUUGAGAGGAUGAUCAGUCAGACUGGAACUGAGACACGGUCCAGACUCCUACGGGAGGCAGCAGUGAGGAAUCUUCCACAAUGGGCGAAAGCCUGACGGAGCAACUCCGCGUGCAGGAUGAAGGCCUUCGGUUGUAACUAGCUUUAUGAGUGAAGAAUAUAGACGGUAACUACAUGAAUAAGGUACGGCGUAACUACGUGCCAGCAGCCGCGGUAAAUAGACGUACU
rnacentral:rRNA from 1 species